rnacentral:rRNA from 1 species
GAUGAACGCUGGCGGCGUGCCUAAUACAUGCAAGUCGAGCGAACAGACGAGGAGCUUUCUCCUCUGACGUUAGCGGCGGACGGGUGAGUAACACGUGGAUAACCUACCUAUAAGACUGGGAUAACUUCGGGAAACCGGAGCUAAUACCGGAUAAUAUAUUGAACCGCAUGGUUCAAUAGUGAAAGACGGUUUUGCUGUCACUUAUAGAUGGAUCCGCGCCGCAUUAGCUAGUUGGUAAGGUAACGGCUUACCAAGGCAACGAUGCGUAGCCGACCUGAGAGGGUGAUCGGCCACACUGGAACUGAGACACGGUCCAGACUCCUACGGGAGGCAGCAGUAGGGAAUCUUCCGCCAUGGGCGAAAGCCUGACGGAGCAACGCCGCGUGAGUGAUGAAGGUCUUCGGAUCGUAAAACUCUGUUAUUAGGGAAGAACAAAUGUGUAAGUAACUAUGCACGUCUUGACGGUACCUAAACAGAAAGCCACGGCUAACUACGUG